CUUUGAUCGCUUGUGCCAGUGUUUGGGUGAAUAAAAGUGAGGCGAGCCAAAGGCGCCAACCUCCUCUGCCUACUAGAGGGACGAAAGCCAUGGGGAGUGAAGAGCCAAUGGGGAGAGAAGUACAUGGUAGAUGCUGGUACGAAUUUCCAGGAAGUGUAGGUGAGAAUUCAACACUGAAGCAGGCACAGUACCUGGUCAUCUUUAUUUCCAACACUUUCAUGGUAAAUGUCAAAAGGAAAUGCAGAACUUUGAUGAUGUAUUGAGAGGAGAUACAAACAAUUACAGUAAUGUAUACAUGGGGAGUUUCCACUGCUGCUGGUGAAAAAGCACAGAAUUUUUUUCUUGAAAAGAUGACAUAUGCAAUGUAUUUGUGGUAACUCUAAGGUGGACAGAUACGCAAACAUGUCUUCUGUGUAUCUAUGAUAUAAGUCAUAAGCUAAGUGGCCAUACUGGUAGUAACUAGAUGUAGAUUAAUAAGUAGCAGUCAAGAAAUGAGACAAAAUAUUAUACACAUACAUGUACAUAUGCAUAAACAUGCACACACACCCAUACACACACAUACCUG
ensembl:lncRNA